GGAAUGCGAUAAGUAGUGUGAAUUGCAGAAUUCAGUGAAUCAUCGAAUCUUUGAACGCACAUUGCGCCCUUUGGUAUUCCUUAGGGCAUGCCUGUUCGAGCGUCAUCUAAACCUUCAAGCCCUGCUUGGUGUUGGGUGCCUGUCCCGCCUCCGCGCGCGGACUCACCUCAAAUCCAUUGGCGGCCCCCGCGUCGGCCACGAGCGCAGCAGAAACGCGAACUCGUGAGCCCGUCCGGGCGGCUCCCAGAAGCUACACCCACCCAGUUUGACCUCGGAUCAGGUAGGGAUACCCGCUGAACUUAAGC
rnacentral:misc_RNA from 1 species